rnacentral:rRNA from 1 species
GAUCCUGGCUCAGGACGAACGCUGGCGGCGCGCCUAACACAUGCAAGUCGAACGAGCGAGAGAGAGUUUACUUUUUCGAGCGAGUGGCGAACGGGUGAGUAACGCGUGAGGAACCUGCCUCAAAGAGGGGGACAACAGUUGGAAACGACUGCUAAUACCGCAUAAGCCCACGACCCGGCAUCGGGUAGGGGGAAAAGGAGCAAUCCGCUUUGAGAUGGCCUCGCGUCCGAUUAGCUAGUUGGUGAGGUAACGG